rnacentral:rRNA from 1 species
GAUGAACGCUGGCGGCGUGCUUAACACAUGCAAGUCGAACGGAAAGGCCCCUGCUUGCAGGGGUACUCGAGUGGCGAACGGGUGAGUAACACGAGGGUGACCUGCCCUGCACUUCGGGAUAAUCCUGGGAAACUGGGGCUAAUACCGGAUAGGACGAUGGCUUGGAUGCCAUUGUGGAAAGUUUUUCGGUGUGGGAUGAGCUCGCGGCCUAUCAGCUUGUUGGUGGUGUAAUGGCCUACCAAGGCGUCGACGGGUAGCCGGCCUGCGAGGGUGUACGGCGACAUUGGGACUGCGAUACGGCGCAGAAUCCUACGGGAGGCAGCCGUGGGGAAUGUUGCACAAUGGGCGCAAGCCUGAUGCAGCGACGACGGGUGGGGGAUGACGGCCUUCGGGUUGUAAACUCCUUUCGCUAGGGACGAAGCGCAAGUGACGGUACCUGGAGAAGAAGCACCGGCUAACUACGUG